rnacentral:rRNA from 1 species
GACGAACGCUGGCGGCGUGCCUAAUACAUGCAAGUCGAACGCAGUGGGGACGGGUGAGUAACACGUGGGUAACCUCCCAUCAGAGGGGAUAACCCUUGGCAACAGGUGCUAAACCGAUACUGAUGGAUGGACCCGCGGUGCAUUAGCUCGUUGGUGAGGUAACGGCUCACCAAGGCCACGAUGCAUAGCGGGCAGGAGAGGGUGAGGGGCCAAACUGGGACUGAGACACGGCCCAGACUCCUACGGGAGGCAGCAGGAGGGAAUAUUCGGCAAUGGACGAAAGUCUGAACGAGCAACGCCGCGGGAGUGAAGAAGGUUUUAGGAUCGUAAAACUCUGUGGUUAGAGAAGAGGUAUCUAACCAGAAAGCCACGGAUAACUACGGGCCAGCAGCCGCGGUAAUUC